UUACGACUACAUAUCAGGCAUAUCAAUAAGCGGAGGAAAAGAAACUAACUAGGAUUCCCUCAGUAACGGCGAGUGAAGCGGGAAGAGCUCAAAUUUGAAAUCUUCAAGGUUCUACCUUGACGAAUUGUAGUUUAAAGAAGUGUUUUCUGUUGGAGUUUUGGUAAAAGUUCUUUGGAAUAGGACAUCAUAGAGGGUGAGAAUCCCGUAUUUGACCGUUAUUUUCAGCUGUGUGAUACACUUUCAAAGAGUCGGAUUGUUUGGGAAUGCAGUCCAAAAUGGGUGGUAAAUUUCAUCUAAAGCUAAAUAUUGGCGAGAGACCGAUAGCGAACAAGUACCGUGAGGGAAAGAUGAAAAGAACUUUGAAAAGAGAGUUAAACAGUACGUGAAAUUGUCAAAAGGGAAGCGUUUGACACCAGUGUUGUUUUCUCGAAAAUCAAUUAAAAAAGGCAGGAUUUUGUGUUGUAUUGACUUUAUCAGCUUUCUGCACUCUUUUCUUGUCUUUUUUAAUGCACUUUUCGUUUAACAAGUCAACAUCAAUUUCUUUUGUUGUAAAAGGGUAAUAGGAAGGUGGCUUGCUCUUCGGCGCAAGUGUUUAUAGCCUUUUAGCCUCUGCAAUCGGAGAGAUUGAGGUCUGCAGCGUAGAUCCUUCGGGGUUAGAUACAUUUGUGCUAAGCUAUAGCCUUGUAUAGACAACUUGUUGACUAUGCUCAGUCAUGUAGCUUACUCGCUUAUGCUAUUUUACCUACGCUUAGGAUGUUGAGCGCAUGUCUCUCUCU
rnacentral:rRNA from 1 species